UCGAAGCGCGUCUCUCUUUUGAGCGCCCAUGUUAGUUUGCGUCUCUUCUUGUUGUGAUCACAUCGGUCUUGGAAAAAUUUUAAGAUUUUGAAGAAAAUGGCAGAUAUUCUUGAAGAAUCAGAGUGAUUUGCCCUCAAAAAGAUGCAGCUAAUGUGAGCUAUACAAAAUUUCAUACCUCGAUUGUCGCAUUGGAACUGUGGAUUGAUAAUUAUAUGGCAGCUUAAACUGCGCGUGGAAAAAUGGAGUACAGGAAAAUUAAAGAUAUUUGCAUGCGGACCAAAACGUUCACUUCUAUAUAUCAAAGAUCCUGGGUAGUUUGCGGACGACGCUAAUUUUCCAAUGAAAGGCAAUAAAUUUGUUUGAAAACUCCGAUCAACAUUGAGAAAUUCUUGGAAACUGAAGUUUGAGCUAAAACAUUAAAUUGUGUGAAGUUUAGUGCGUUUGGUUUGAGUAGUGCAAAUCCAGCCGUAUUUUCACAAACAGCAGAAGGAAGCUACCGAGAGUCAUCGAUCAGCAGUGACAACACUAGAUAAGUACAGCCCACUGUUAAUCUUUUUUUUAAUUGUUUUGAUUUAUUUUUGUCUUUUGGAGUUUGUGAUACCAAUAAAAACCUGAUUAUUUUUAAAAUGGACUUGUACUAUUUUUCAUCAACCGAACCUACAAUAAAAAGUUAAAGGUUAAAGUAACCUAUUUGGACGGUAAAAAAAAGAAACUGAAAAAUAAAAUACAACCACCAAGUAGAAGUUGGAACAACCUUUAUUAACUAGGUUAAUUUUACCUUUAUAAAAAGGUACGGCGAAACUUCUGAAAAGGUACGCGGUUGCAGCCGCCGAGCGAUCCUUUACCUUCGCUUGAGGGUUGUAACAAACG